UGCCAGCAGCCGCGGUAAGACGAAGGUGGCAAGCGUUGCUCGGAAUUACUGGGCAUAAAGGGCGCGUAGGUGGCGGAGUAAGUUGGUAGUGAAAGCCUGUGGCUCACCCAUAGAAUUGCUAUCAAAACUGCUUUGCUUGAGGGCAGGAGGGGAGAGUGGAACUCCUGGUGUAGCGGUGAAAUGCGUAGAUAUCAGGAGGAACGCCGGUGGCGAAAGCGACUCUCUGGACUGUUCCUGACACUGAGGCGCGAAAGCUAGGGGAUCAAACAGGAUUAGAUA
rnacentral:rRNA from 1 species